UUAGUAAGCCAGACCUUUUGGCCAGUUAACAGCAUUCAGUGAGGCAGGCUACUCAGACUUUUCUAUGUGCACAAGGUGAGCAAAUGCAGAGGCUCUGAUGCCCCAUUUCAUGGCAGCCGAGUAACAUCUGCCAAAUUCAGUCAUCCAAUCCAGUUCCAAGGCAGAGCAGCAAAUAGACAUCAGGUGCUCGCAUUUUGCUGCUACAAGCUGCAUCUUUAGAAAGAUCUUUGAACAUAAUACCAGCUCUCUAGAAAGCUGUAAUCAGCUCCACAGUGCUCAGCUGAAACCCGUAAGCCAUUUGCACCAACUAACAUAUCCCUCAGCACCAGCAGAUGCUUUCUCAAUGGCUUUGCUCAGGCUUGCUAUGUGCCUGAGGUGAGUGCUCUCUGUGCAGCCAACGAGGCAGGAGGUGCCCAGGAGGAGCCCUGGCUGUGCUCCCAGCAUCAGGAAGCAUCUAGUCUAUGUCCAGGCUGAGUCUCUGCACCUACUGCCAUGACUUUCCACGGUCAGCCCUCGGUGUUGCUCCCCAGAUGUCUGCUGCUUGAAGAUGCUGCACAAAACUGAGGCCUUUAGGAUUUUAAACUGUGCAGGAGCCUUCCAGCUGCUCCAUACCCACCCGGGGAACAGGAAGAGACUUGCACCCAAGGGACUGGGCAAGAGAGGUGGGAGCCUAGCAGCACUGAACCAGGGUUUGCCCUGGGUACAUAGGGAAAAACCAUAGCGGUAUUGCAGAGUGAUGUAAAGCACCGAGAACCCACAACUGCCAAGAUCUUUGGAACAAAUGUGCAUCCUCAAGGAAGCAGUCGAGAGGAACGCAGAGCGGAUGUCAACAGGUGACCUCACUAUGCAGUUACCCAAAGACCCAGACCUGGCUUGAAGACUUGGCUAAAGGGAAAACAGGAAUCAUAUGGGACAGAGGUUGCGAGGGGCAGGAGGACAUGUUCUAGGGGAGAAGAUAAAGCUGGAAUCAGCAAGGCACUGGAGAAAACUCCCCUUCUUUAAUCAGUGACUCCCAGAAGAGUAGGGAGAACCUUCUCUUGAAGCAGGAGAUCUGGAUAGGAGACAGAGGGCUCCCAAGCUUUGUAAUGGGACUAGAAGGUCAUGCCAAACAAGCAGGUUAUAUGUAUAUAUAUAUAUAUAUAUAUAUGUAUGUAUAUAUGUAUAUAUAUGUAUAUAUGUUUUUCCUGCUUCUCCUUCUAUGUGGCCUCUGCAUGACAGUGCAGUGAAAAGCAACUUGACCAGGGAAUACAUUGCUUUGAGCAGAGGCACCCUUAGCUACUCAUGUCUUUGGCAAUAAAUUAGUGACAGGGUAAAUAAGUGUCCUUUCUGGAGCUGGGCUAAGUUAUCCAGGUCUUCCCUGGUGGAGUCACUGUGGAUGGUCCCACUGGCGGGCUGGGGGACAAAAAGCUGUGCUGACCAUGCAACCUUUUGGCAGGUUAGCUCUGCCCAUGUGUGU